GUACUCACUUUGAUAGUACAUAUGCUAAAAUUUCAAUGAUAGAGAAAAUUUAGCAUGGUCCCUGUAUGAGGAUAACAUGCAGAUUCAUGAAUCGUUCCAUAUUUUU
ensembl:snRNA U6 U6 spliceosomal RNA